ACUCUUGAAGAUGAUAGAGUCUUCAAUGAGAGAAGGCAGCAGUAAACAGCCCAGAGACUGAUAAAAGAAACUGAAUAGAAGAACACUGUCUGUAACUGAGCUGACUGCCACAGAUAGUCAGAGAUGCAAAAGAACUCAACUAAGGUUAAGGAUUUUUCCUAAAAUGAAAGUCAACGUCCUAAAGAAUGCUACAAAUGAUACAAUGCUUUGAACAUAAUACCAAGACAAGAAGAAACUGGGUAGGAAACAGGGAAGAUGCCUUGUCUGUUGGUUCCUGGUAUUUUACCUUCAUACCAGUUUUGAUCAACUCGCUUGAGAAGAAUUACUCUGUCUCCCUGAAAUGCAUUAUGAAAACGAGUUAUCAGCACAUACACUCUUAUAGGUGGAAUUCACUAAAACUAUCUUUAG